rnacentral:lncRNA from 10 species
GGGUACACCAGCCAGCCCACGGCACAGAGCCUGCCUGUUGGUCUCUACCCACAGGGGAUCCCCUGCUGCUCCACCAUCAGAUUUGGGACACCACCCCCCCCCCGGCCCCACCAGAGGGCAUCAGCUAUGCCUAGCAAUUACGCCCCCGUGGCUAAAUUAAACUCCCAUUGGCUAAAUUAGGCUCGAAGAGAGGGGCACCUGCUGCUAAGCUGUGUAUGUUGUCCCCUAGGACUCCCACCGUUUGCUGAGCUCCACAUGACAACAGCAGACGACAGGCCGCACUGAUCCCACCUGGCUUACAGGUGCUGUCACACAGGACUGCUGACUAAACACUUUCAAGCACAGUGGACCCUUGAACAACGCAGGUUCAAACUGUGCAGGUCCACCCACAGGGAUGUUUUUCAAUCAGAGUUAUACCAAGUGUCCCUGCCUCUCCUGCCUCCCUUCCCACUUCCUCCAUGUCUUCCUCUCUGCCACCCUGAGGCAGCAAGACCAGCCCCUCCUCCUCAGCCACUCAACAUGAAGACAACGAGGAUGAAGACUUCUAUGAUAAUCCACUUCCACUUAGUAAAUGCUUUCUCUUAUGAUAUUCUUAAUGACAUUUUAUUUUCCCAAGCUUAGUUUAUUGUAAGAAUACAGUAUAAAUAC